UACAGAGGUCUCAAGCGUUGUUCGGAUUCAUUGGGCGUAAAGGGUGUGUAGGUGGCGCCGUAAGUCGGGUGUGAAAUUUCGGAGCUUAACUCCGAAACUGCAUUUGAUACUGGCGUGCUUGAGGACUGGAGAGGAGACUGGAAUUCAUGGUGUAGCAGUGAAAUGCGUAGAGAUCAUGAGGAAGACCAGUGGCGAAGGCGGGUCUCUGGACAGUUCCUGACACUGAGGCACGAAGGCCAGGGGAGCAAACGGG
rnacentral:rRNA from 1 species